rnacentral:misc_RNA from 1 species
GAAGAAUAUACGGUCUUGGAUUUGAAGCAAGAAUUUAUUAGGGGCAAAAUCUUUAUGGUUCAUAAUCAUUACCACCUUCAUUUUCUCAAUCAACAUCGAUAACAAAUAUGGAUGAGUUUGUAAAGCAAAUGAUGUCUGCACUAACUAGUCAUCUUGUUCCUAUUAUUGUUGAGCAGGUGCAAGCAUCGAUUACUCCAUCCGGCAAUCCAUCGAUUGUGACACCCAUAGUGCCUGUUGUUACUAAUGUGGACGAGGUUGAUACCUUAAUUUCAAGUGAAGAUCGUAUCCCUUAGUCUCCCACAACUUUAGUUUUUGAUGAUGUCAUAUUUUUU